rnacentral:lncRNA from 1 species
UUCUAUAAACCCUAAUUUCAUAAAUACAUCAAUAUAGCAGAGCAUACACGAAUUCUUACCUGGAUGAUGUAUUCUCUGUAUUCCCAAUCCUCAGAAUGUGACCCCUUGCUGCUCUUUUAGCCAAUCCUUCCUCUUCCUUGCACACCCACUCUUCUAUAACCAACAAUGGCCUAAGAUCCUUGCUCCUGCUGCACUAAAUCGAUUUAGGGUUCUUCUCAGAAGGCUAAAACGAACAAUGACGGCCAAUGGACCCCUUUUAUACGUCCCAAACCUGAACGGUUAGGGUUUCCGCUAAACAGCGUCGACUCGCCGAGUCCAUAUCUGGACUCGUCGAGUCCAGUCGCGGACCCGCGACCAAGUCUGCGAUCCUACUCGGCGAGUCUAGGCUCCAACUCGCCGAGUCCCCUCUUAAAUCACCCCAAAAACAUAAUUUUAAUAAUACCUGAGAUUCCGGGCUGUUACAACUCUCCCCCACUUGGAUUAGACUUCGCCCUCGAAGUCUCACUCUGCAAAUAGUUCCGGAUGCUGCUCCCGCAUUUCGCGCUCCGGUUCCCAAGUCAUUUCUGAUCCCUUACGGUGUUGCCAUUGAACCAACACCAGAGGUACCUCCUUGUUCCUCAGAACCUUGAUCUUCCGAUCCCUGAUAGCCACUGGUCUCUCCGCGUAAUUCAGACUCGCAUCCACCUGAAUAUCCUCCAAUGGAACCACUGCCGACUCAUCGGCUAUGCACUUCCUCAACUGCGACACAUGAAAAGUGUCAUGGAUCUGACCCAACUCCGCUGGCAACUCCAACCGGUAGGCUACCCGACCUAUCCUUGCAAUCACACGAAAUGGCCCAAUAUACCGGGGCCCCAACUUGCCUCUCUUCCUGAACCGAAUCACUCCUUUCCAAGGAGAGACCUUCAGGAGAACGAAGUCGCCGACUUGAAAUUCAAGCUCGGAUCGGCGCCUGUCUGCAUAACUCUUCUGUCGGCUCUGGGCAGUCAAUAAUCUUUGUCUCACUUGUUGAAUCUGCUCUGUCGUCUGGAGUAUGAUCUCCGUGCUGCCCAUCACUCUCUGUCCCACCUCUCCCCAGCAAAUGGGAGUCCGACACCUCCUACCAUACAACAGCUCGAAAGGCGGCAUACCAAUGCUCGAAUGAUGGCUGUUGUUGUAGGAAAACUCUGCCAAUGGUAAAUACGCAUCCCAACUACCCCCGAAGUCUAACACACACGCUCGGAGCAUGUCCUCCAGUGUCUGAAUUGUCCGCUCGCUCUGACCGUCUGUCUGGGGAUGGUAUGCGGUACUAAAAUGCAAUUUAGUACCCAGCUCCUCAUGGAAUUUCUUCCAGAAUCUGGAAGUAAAGCGCACAUCACGGUCUGACACAAUCGAGAUCGGCACCCCGUGCCGAGAUACCACCUCUCUCACGUAUAUCUCCGCCAAUUUCUCCGCCGAAGAACUCUCACUGAUGGCAAGGAAGUGUGCACUCUUUGUCAACCUAUCCACGAUCACCCAAAUUGCGUCAACUCCCCUAGCAGUCCUCGGCAAUUUGGUGAUAAAAUCCAUAGUAAUCUGUUCCCACUUCCACUCGGGGAUCUCCAAUGGCUGUAACUUGCCAUGCGGUCUCUGGUGCUCAGCCUUAACCCUACGGCAGGUCAAGCACCUCUCAACGAACCAUGCCACGUCCCUCUUCAUACAGGGCCACCAAUAUUCCUUCCUUAAAUCCAAAUACAUCUUUGUAGCACCGGGAUGGAUCGAGAAUUUCGAUCUAUGAGCCUCUUCCAUCAACGUAAUACGCGUACCGCCCACGAACGGUACCCAAAUCCGACCCUGAAACGUCAUAAGGCCUCGACUAUCCUUGACAAACUCUGAGAUUAACCCCACAACCCGCUCUUUCUUCUGCAUUUCUGGUCGCACGGCCUCCGCCUGGGCCCCACGAAUGGCGUCCAAUACUGGAGUCAUCACAGUCAGUCUCAAGCAUACGUCUCGCAAUUGAGUGCUCUCCGCCCUGCGACUCAAUGCAUCGGCUACCACAUUAGCCUUGCCUGGGUGGUACAGGAUCUCACAAUCAUAAUCCUUGACCACAUCCAACCACCUCCUCUGACGCAUAUUUAGGUUGGGUUGAUCCAUCAAAUACUUCAAACUCUUAUGGUCCGUGUAUAUCGUACAUCGAACCCCAUACAAGUAGUGACGCCAAAUCUUGAGAGCGAACACUACUGCCCCCAACUCUAAAUCAUGCGUGGGAUAUCUCGCCUCAUGAGGCUUCAGCUGCCUCGACGCAUAAGCUAUCACAUGACCCCUCUGCAUUAACACUGCACCCAAUCCCGAAAUCGAUGCGUCGCAAUAUACCACGAAAUCUUCCAUCCCUUCUGGAAGAGCUAAUACCGGGGCUUCGCACAAUCUUUGGCGAAGUGUCUCAAAGGAGGUCUGCUGCUCGGGCCCCCAUGAGAAUGUAACACCCUUCCGGGUCAAUCUGGUGAGUGGCACUGCGAUCUUGGAGAAAUCCUUGAUAAAUCUCCGAUAAUACCCUGCCAACCCAAGGAAACUUCUGAUCUCAGAGGGUGACUUCGGCACCUCCCAACUCAUCACCGCCUCAACCUUGGCCGGAUCGACCAAUAUCCCUUUCUGAUUAACCACAUGUCCUAGAAACUGGACCUCCCGCAACCAGAAGUCACAUUUGGAGAACUUUGCAUAAAGUUUCUCCGACCUCAAUACCUCAAGGACCUCCCUCAAAUGCUCCUCAUGCUGCUCUCUCGAUCUCGAAUACACCAGAAUGUCGUCGAUAAAUACGAUCACCGACCGAUCCAACAUCGGCCUGCAUACCCUGUUCAUGAGAUCCAUGAACACAGCCGGGGCAUUGGUGAGUCCAAAAGGCAUCACCACAAACUCAUAAUGCCCAUAUCGCGUCCUAAACGCUGUCUUCUGGACGUCUUCAUCCCGUACUCUCACCUGAUGGUAUCCUGACCUCAGAUCGAUCUUGGAAAACCAAGAUGCUCCCUGCAACUGAUCGAAUAAAUCAUCGAUCCUCGGCAACGGGUAACGGUUCUUGACCGUUAGCUUGUUCAACUCCCGGUAAUCAAUGCACAUCCGGUGUGAACCAUCCUUCUUCUUGACGAACAGAAUAGGUGCUCCCCAUGGCGAGCUGCUCGGCCGAAUGAAUCCCUUUCCCAGCAACUCCUGGAGUUGCGAGGACAACUCUUGCAUCUCUGGAGGUGCAAGACGAUAGGGCACUUUAGCAAUAGGCGCUGCCCCCGGAACCAGAUCGAUACUAAACUCUACUUGCCUCACAGGCGGUACUCCCGGCAACUCCUCGGGAAAGACAUCUGAAAACUCGCGCACCACCGGAACUUCCUCAACUGACUUCGGUUUCUCAGAAACCUCCCGCGUAUCCAUCACAUACGCCACGAAACCCUUACAGCCCUGACGUAGACACUGCCUCGCCCUAGCGGCCGAACAAAAAGCUGAUCCCGAACGGGUACCCUCGCCGUAUACCGAAAGAACUCCCCCUCUAGGGUCUCGUAUAGUCACCAACUGACGCUCACAGUCGAUGACAGCGCCGAACCGGCUCAGCCAGUCCAUGCCCACGAUGACACAGACAUCCCCCAUCGCGAUAGGAAUCAGAUCAAUCGGGAAUCCAACCCCGAAAAUCUCUAGUACACAUCCCCGAAGAACCUCCGUAGCACAAAUCACCUUCUCGUCAGCUAUAGAGACUCUCAAAGGUCGACUCAACGACUCACGACUAACGCCAAUAUGCUGACUAAAGGCCAAGGACACAAAGGACCUACUCGCACCCGAGUCAAAUAACACUAAGGCAGGCACAGAGUUCACAAGGAAAGUACCUACGCGCAUAAUAACAUAAGCAUAACAUAUCGACAUUAAAAUAAUUACAUGAAUUACAACAUACCUGCCACAACAUCGGGCGCAGCGCGGACCUCUUCCGCAGUCAGCUGAAAGGCUCUUCCCCGAGCCCUCGGGGCCUCGGCCUUCACCGGUCGAGUCGCAGGAACUCCGGCAGCAGGUGCAGAUCCCUGAAGAAGCUGAGGGCACUCGGCCUUCCUAUGGCCAGUCUGGUUGCAAUGAAAGCAAACCGAAAAUCCCUUGGGGCACUCCCUAGCAAUGUGCCCCUCCUUGCCACACUUGUAGCAAGCACCAGAUCGACAUACUCCAUCAUGACUCUUGCCGCACUUCCCGCAAGUGCGACCCUUCGAACCUCCUGUCCUCGAAUCAGCGGACUUGGUCCGCUUGGCUGCCGGCUGGAACUGAGCCGGUCGCCGAUCCACCCGCUGAGACUCGGCCUCCUCCCUAGCCUGGGUCUCCAACUCGAUCUCGCGCUUCCUGGCAUUCGCCUGAAGCUCAGCAAAAGUAUGGUAAGUGGAGUUUGACACAAACUCCCGAAUAUCCCUCCUCAAGACACCCAAGUAUCGGCUCAUCCGAGCCUGCUCUGAGGACACCAGCUCAGGGCAAAACAUCGCCCUCUCAUGAAACUUCCGUGUAAUCACCGCAACAGAAUCGGUACCCUGCUUGAGGGUUAAGAACUCCUGCACCAAUCGUUCCCUCUCCACCGGGGGAACGUACUCAUCCCUGAACAUGGCAGUAAACCCCUCCCAUGUCACCGCUGUAGUCUCUGCCAAAGUGAAAUUCGCUGUCACGAACUUCCACCAGUCCUUCGCUCCCAGACGGAGCUGGUUCAAAGCGAACCGUACCCUCAGGUGCUCCGGGCAUGAACAAGUAUAGAAGCACCCCUCUAUAUCUGCGAUCCACCUCAUCGCAGCAAUCGGAUCCUGCGUCCCAUCGAACUCUGGUGGCUUCGUGUUGCUGAACUCUCGGAACAGCAAUGAAUCACCCCCCUGUGGCCUAGCAGCGGCCACAGCUGCGGUAGCUGCAGCGGUUGCAGCCUCAGUCAAUGCGGCGUACCGCUCGUCGAACGUCUCCAUCAGGGUGGUCUUGAUAGACCCAAACAUCUCCGGGAUCUCAGCCCGGAUCGCCGCCGCCACCUCCUCGUGGAUCAUCUGACGAAUAUCCUCGUCACUCACACCGCUCGUACUUGCCCCGUGCCGCGGUCUAACCAUGAUAUCUCUGAAAUACAACAUAAAACUAUCAGAGAUUCUACCGAGUAUAAUCGUACUCGACACGCAACCCUACUCAGUCCCAGAUAUCCAGGGAUUCUUACUUGGGCCUCCCACUGACCCGGUGUCCUCGGUAGUACGGGCCCAAUACUACCGACCACACCGCAUCAAUGUUCAUCCCAAGUCCUCCUCCCCAAACUCCAGAUAGUGAGUACUCUACUUCUGAUACGCUCUAUCUACCCGCAUACUAGCAAAGCAUCUCAUAUAGGCAACUUCCCUAGACUAAGGCAUCACAAAUCAGGCCACUCUAGUCCUAUCAUGAAUACCUAGUCUUCUAGCAUGCAUAACAAUUCAUAUCAUAUAAUAUUGUAAGGUAUUUUGGGGAUCUUUACCGUUCGGGCGCUGACUGAUCGUACACACUGCUUCUUUCUUGCUUACCACAAAACCAUUUACAAAAGUUUAUGCCUUUAUUUGAAAAGUUUCCUCAAAUCCUCGGUUUGAGUUCAGUUACCCCCGAAGGUGCACCCGAAUCCCUCAAACCAAGGCUCUGAUACCAAUUGUAACAACUCAAAUUUUUCAAACAAAUUUUUCAUUUUUAAAACAUAAUUAUUUCCAUUAAAAACAAGGCAUAAACAGUUUAAUUAUUCGGUCAAUACAAUUAUUCAAACUCCCAAGAUCAUAAAACAAUCUUCAGUGUGUAUCGAUCAUGCCGGCGCCUUCCCACGGUCCUCGCUAGUACCUGAAAUACAUGCACAACAACUGUAAGCAUAAAUGCUUAGUGAGUUCCCCAAUAUACACUUACGCACAUACGCCUUUCCAGGCCCUGACCUUCCGGUCCUCAUUACAACGCCUUCCGGCCCAUAACAUAAUCGCCUUCCGGCCCAUAACAUAUUGCCUUCCGGCCCACAUAUCAUACAUAGCACAUAUAACAAUUAACUUACCACAUAUAGCAUACAUAUCACAUAACAUAUCCGACCUUCCGGUCACACAGUCAAACCCUUCCGGGUACAGUAUAGUGAGAAGACUCACCUCGUAUAUGCUGAAAGCUAGCAACUCCUGAAAUGACUCGUGCACAACCGACGAGCUACAACCUCCCUAUAACAUUACGUAACUCAUUAAUACUUAUCUCUUCUAAGUGUGACUAUCCCUAAGAAGUCAGACUUAGGUCAACUCUGGUCAACGGUCAACGGUCAACUCGACCGGACUCGGCGAGUACCAUGGCGACUCGGCGAGUCUAGACGUCCUCCAACUUUCUGAGAUUCCUUAUCUACUCGUCGAGUACCCUCCUCGACCCGACGAGUUACUCCUGGAAGAAUCGCGGGGCCACCCCGACUCCACUCGCCGAGUCUGAAGAACAACUCGGCGAGUCCAUGCCAUGCAGACGAGUAACUGCUUCCUGAGAUAGGUCUCGUCCCGAAGUACACAUGCAUGGGGCCUUCUGGACCUCUAAAGGUCCUAAUACAAGAUUACAGUCGUGGGGUAACAAGGCAUUACUUCAUCAAAUCACUAAAUGGGUUCUAUAAACCCUAAUUUCAUAAAUACAUCAAUAUAGCAGAGCAUACACGAAUUCUUACCUGGAUGAUGUAUUCUCUGUAUUCCCAAUCCUCAGAAUGUGACCCCUUGCUGCUCUUUUAGCCAAUCCUUCCUCUUCCUUGCACACCCACUCUUCUAUAACCAACAAUGGCCUAAGAUCCUUGCUUCUGCUGCACUAAAUCGAUUUAGGGUUCUUCUCAGAAGGCUAAAACGAACAAUGACGGCCAAUGGACCCCUUUUAUAC